rfam:Dichomitus squalens LYAD-421 SS1 unplaced genomic scaffold DICSQscaffold_5, whole genome shotgun sequence.
GCCCGCCUAGCUCAAUCGGAUAGAGCGUCAGACUCUUAAGAGCGCAAGGCUUUUACUGGGUGAUCUCGUGAUCUGAAGGCUGCGAGUUCGACCCUCGCGUUGGGCU